UACAGAGGUCCCAAGCGUUGUUCGGAUUCACUGGGCGUAAAGGGUGCGUAGGCGGUGGGAUAAGUCCGAUGUGAAAUCUCCGAGCUUAACUCGGAAACUGCGUCGGAUACUAUUCGGCUAGAGGAUUGGAAGGGGGACUGGAAUUCCCGGCGUAGCAGUGAAAUGCGUAGAUAUCGGGAGGAACACCAGUGGCGAAGGCGAGUCCCUGGACAAUACCUGACGCUGAGGCACGAAAGCUAGGGGAGCAAACGGG
rnacentral:rRNA from 1 species